rnacentral:RNase_P_RNA from 1 species
CCAGGGGGUCGGGCGACCGCGUCGCACUUCGGUGCGCCGAGGAAAGUCCGGGCUCCACGGAACGACGGUGCCGGGUAACGCCCGGCGGCUUCGCGUGAGCGGGGUCAGGGAAAGUGCCACAGAAAGCAGACCGCCACGGUUUCGGCCAGGCAAGGGCGAAAGGGUGCGGCAAGAGCGCACCGCGGUCCCGGCAACGGGAACGGCACGGCAAACCCCACCGGGAGCAAGACCGAAUAGGGGCGGCACAUGGGCCUGUUCCGGCUCGUCGCCCGGGUUGGUUGCUGGAGACCGUCAGCAAUGACGGUCCGAGAGGAAUGGUCGCCCAUCGCUCUUACGGGCGAGGACAGAACCCGGCUUACAGACUCUCUGGCGCA